AAGUUACAUGAAAAGAAAAGAUUCCACUGAGCCAACAGAUAGCAGUGAUUCUGUUAGUGAUAAUGAAAGUCAUCCUGCACAAUAACCCUUCUCUCUUUUGUCUCCCUCAAA